rnacentral:rRNA from 1 species
UGGGGAAUAUUGCACAAUGGGGGAAACCCUGAUGCAGCGACGCCGCGUGAGCGAAGAAGGCCUUCGGGUCGUAAAGCUCUUUUAUGAGGGAAGAUAAUGACGGUACCUCAAGAAAAAGCCCCGGCUAAAUACGUGCCAGCAGCCGCGGUAAUACGUAUGGGGCGAGCGUUGUCCGGAAUUAUUGGGCGUAAAGGGUACGUAGGCGGUCUAUUAAGUCAGGUGUGAAAGCGUGAGGCUUAACCUCAUUAAGCACUUGAAACUGAUAGACUUGAGUGAAGGAGAGGAAAGUGGAAUUCCUAGUGUAGCGGUGAAAUGCGUAGAUAUUAGGAGGAAUACCGGUGGCGAAGGCGACUUUCUGGACUUUUACUGACGCUCAGGUACGAAAGCGUGGGGAGCAAACAGG